UACGAAGGGGGCUCGCGUUGUUCGGAAUCACUGGGCGUAAAGCGCACGCAGGCGGAUCGAUAAGUCGGGGGUGAAAGCCCGGGGCUCAACCUCGGAAUUGCCAUCGAUACUGUCGGUCUCGAGUCCGGGAGAGGUGAGUGGAAUUCCUAGUGUAGAGGUGAAAUUCGUAGAUAUUAGGAAGAACACCAGUGGCGAAGGCGGCUCACUGGCCCGGUACUGACGCUCAGGUGCGAAAGCGUGGGGAGCAAACACG
rnacentral:rRNA from 1 species